UCAAACGAAGCAUAAUAAUUUUACUUACUGCUUUCCCUAAAUAAAAGCGUCGAGCGGAACGUUUUUUAUCGCACAGGGUUAAGUUUACAUCAAAAGUUGACACUGUUUACUUCAAUUGUGAUUUUCUUAUUGUGAAAAGAAGGAAGGUGUCAAAAUAAUUUACUUGAAUUGUGAUUUUAAACUUUCAUUUUUUUAAGAAAAAAACGUGAUAUAAAAAUAAUAAUUUCAAAUUAUGGAUGACAUUGAUGAUCUUGAGGAUUUAUUACUAUUGAAUAUGAUUGCACGUGGACAGCGCAGUGGAAAUCAAGAGAUUUUCAGAACACGUAAAAAUCAUGGAUUUUACUCAAGCGGUGUUAAUUAAAAAAAACCCAGAGCUAUUUGUAAAAUCAACAAGAUUUACUCAUGAGCAGUUCAAAGUAUUAUUAAAUUUGGUUGAACCAUGGUUACGAAAGAAUGACAAAAGUACUCGCGCAGUAGUCCCAUUGAAUCAGAGCAGAGAUUGUACAUAAUCUUGCAUUUCUUGGCUGAUGGCAGCCAUGUUACCUAUGAAGUUUCGAAUUGGACUAGAGACAGCCAGGUCCGUCGUUUUAGAAAAGUGUGAAGUAUUGUGGCGAAUAUUGGCAAGUAGUUAUGUUAGUCCACCUACUAAUGCGGAAUGGAAACAAAUUUCGGAGGAUUUUUGGAAUGCAACCAAAUUACCACAUUGUUUAGGGACAAUAUAUGGUAAACACGUGCAAAUAAAUUGCCCGCCUAAUUCAGGAUCAGAAUAUUUUAAUUAUUAACAAUUUAAUAGCAUCGUUUUACUUGCAGCUUGCGACAGCAAUUAUUCUUUUAAGUUUGUGACGUUGGCGCGUAUGGCAGUCAAAGCGAUGGCGAUGUGUUUAGGAAUUCUCAGUUUGAAAAAUUAUUUCAAAUAAAUCUAUAAAUCAGUUCCCAGUUGCAACAAAUUUGCCCAACUCAGAAAUAAUAUUUCCA